UUAACUCAAUUUUGUAUGGACUUGGAACAGCGCCUCUAGUGGCAAACGUAGGCAAACGUUCCGACUCCAUACAAAUUUUAAGUUA
rnacentral:pre_miRNA from 1 species